AAGGGGAACCUGCGGAAGGAUCAUUACAGAGUUCAUGCCCGAAAGGGUAGACCUCCCACCCUUGUGUAUUAUUACUUUGUUGCUUUGGCGAGCUGCUCUUCGGGGCCUUGUAUGCUCGCCAGAGAAUAUCAAAACUCUUUUUAUUAAUGUCGUCUGAGUACUAUAUAAUAGUUAAAACUUUCAACAACGGAUCUCUUGGUUCUGGCAUCGAUGAAGAACGCAGCGAAAUGCGAUAAGUAAUGUGAAUUGCAGAAUUCAGUGAAUCAUCGAAUCUUUGAACGCACAUUGCGCCCCUUGGUAUUCCGGGGGGCAUGCCUGUUCGAGCGUCAUUUCAACCCUCAAGCUCAGCUUGGUAUUGAGUCCAUGUCAGUAAUGGCAGGCUCUAAAAUCAGUGGCGGCGCCGCUGGGUCCUGAACGUAGUAAUAUCUCUCGUUACAGGUUCUCGGUGUGCUUCUGCCAAAACCCAAAUUUUCUAUGGUUGACCUCGGAUCAGGUAGGGAUACCCGCUGAACUUAAGCAUAUCAAUAAG
rnacentral:rRNA from 1 species